rnacentral:rRNA from 1 species
GAUGAACGCUGGCGGCGUGCCUAAUACAUGCAAGUCGAGCGAACAGACGAGGAGCUUGCUCCUCUGAUGUUAGCGGCGGACGGAUGAGUAACACGUGGAUAACCUACCUAUAAGACUGGGAUAACUUCGGGAAACCGGAGCUAAUACCGGAUAACAUGUUGAACCGCAUGGUUCAACAGUGAAAGACGGUCUUGCUGUCACUUAUAGAUGGAUCCGCGCCGCAUUAGCUAGUUGGUAAGGUAACGGCUUACCAAGGCAACGAUGCGUAGCCGACCUGAGAGGGUGAUCGGCCACACUGGAACUGAGACACGGUCCAGACUCCUACGGGAGGCAGCAGUAGGGAAUCUUCCGCAAUGGGCGAAAGCCUGACGGAGCAACGCCGCGUGAGUGAAGAAGGUCUUCGGAUCGUAAAACUCUGUUAUUAGGGAAGAACAAAUGUGUAAGUAACUAUGCACGUCUUGACGGUACCUAAUCAGAAAGCCACGGCUAACUACGUG